rnacentral:rRNA from 1 species
AUUGAACGCUGGCGGCAGGCCUAACACAUGCAAGUCGAGCGGAUGAAGGGAGCUUGCUCCUGGAUUCAGCGGCGGACGGUUGAGUAAUGCCUAGGAAUCUGCCUGGUAGUGGGGGAUAACGUCCGGAAACGGGCGCUAAUACCGCAUACGUCCUGAGGGAGAAAGUGGGGGAUCUUCGGACCUCACGCUAUCAGAUGAGCCUAGGUCGGAUUAGCUAGUUGGUGGGGUAAAGGCCUACCAAGGCGACGAUCCGUAACUGGUCUGAGAGGAUGAUCAGUCACACUGGAACUGAGACACGGUCCAGACUCCUACGGGAGGCAGCAGCGGGGAAUAUUGGACAAUGGGCGAAAGCCUGAUCCAGCCAUGCCGCGUGUGUGAAGAAGGUCUUCGGAUUGUAAAGCACUUUAAGUUGGGAGGAAGGGCAGUAAGUUAAUACCUUGCUGUUUUGACGUUACCAACAGAAUAAGCACCGGCUAACUUCGUG